CUUCACCCCUGUGCUGGCAAACCAGCACCAGCCUUCCUGGGAGCCUCACGGGAGCUGCAGAGAGCAUCUGGGCAGGGAAGUGGGUCACUCAAGGGGUGACAGAGUAAGAGCAUCAUCGCCUGGGUACUGCAUCCCGUUGCCAUGGUGACCUGAGGGCUGCAUCAGUCAACAGCUUUAAAAAUGUGACAGUUGAGUGAGGCUGAAGAUUUUAAUGAGGACAGACACUUCCUUGCUUAGUUUCGAUAACAAAUACUCCAUAAAUACUCACUGGCUGGA